rnacentral:rRNA from 1 species
CACCUGUUCCCAUGCCGAACACAGAAGUUAAGCUCCUUAGCGCCGAUGGUAGUCGGACUUACGUUCCGCUAGAGUAGGACGUUGCCAGGC